rnacentral:rRNA from 1 species
GCGGCAACAGCUCAAAUUUGAAAUCUGGCUCUCGGGUCCGAGUUGUAAUUUGUAGAGGAUGCUUUUGGUGCGGUGCCUUCCGAGUUCCCUGGAACGGGACGCCAUAGAGGGUGAGAGCCCCGUCUGGUUGGACACCAAGCCUCUGUAAAGCUCCUUCGACGAGUCGAGUAGUUUGGGAAUGCUGCUCUAAAUGGGAGGUAUAUGUCUUCUAAAGCUAAAUACCGGCCAGAGACCGAUAGCGCACAAGUAGAGUGAUCGAAAGAUGAAAAGCACUUUGAAAAGAGGGUUAAAUAGUACGUGAAAUUGUUGAAAGGGAAGCGCUUAUGACCAGACUUGAGCCCGGUUAAUCAUCCAGCCUUCUGGCUGGUGCACUUGGCCGGCUCAGGCCAGCAUCAGUUCGGUGCGGGGGAUAAAGGCUUCGGGAAUGUGGCUCCUCCGGGAGUGUUAUAGCCCGUUGCGCAAUACCCUGCGCUGGACUGAGGUUCGCGCAUCUGCAAGGAUGCUGGCGUAAUGGUCAUCAGCGACCCGUCUUGAAACACGGACCAAGGAGUCGUCUUCGUAUGCGAGUGUUCGGGUGUCAAACCCCUACGCGUAAUGAAAGUGAACGCAGGUGAGAGCUUCGGCGCAUCAUCGACCGAUCCUGAUGUUCUCGGAUGGAUUUGAGUAAGAGCAUACGGGGCCGGACCCGAAAGAAGGUGAACUAUGCCUGUAUAGGG